GCCCGGCGCGGUGGCGCACGUCUGUAAUCCCAGCAAUUUGGGAGGCUGAGGCAGGAGGAUCGCGAGUUCAGAACCAGCCUCAGCAACCACGAGGCGCUAAGCAACUCAGUGAGCCUCUGUCUCUA
rnacentral:sRNA from 1 species